rnacentral:rRNA from 1 species
GGUUAAGCGACUAAGCGUACACGGUGGAUGCCCUGGCAGUCAGAGGCGAUGAAGGACGUGCUAAUCUGCGAUAAGCGUCGGUAAGGUGAUAUGAACCGUUAUAACCGGCGAUUUCCGAAUGGGGAAACCCAGUGUGAUUCGUCACACUAUCAUUAACUGAAUCCAUAGGUUAAUGAGGCGAACCGGGGGAACUGAAACAUCUAAGUACCCCGAGGAAAAGAAAUCAACCGAGAUUCCCCCAGUAGCGGCGAGCGAACGGGGAGCAGCCCAGAGCCUGAAUCAGUGUGUGUGUUAGUGGAAGCGUCUGGAAAGGCGCGCGAUACAGGGUGACAGCCCCGUACACAAAAAUGCACAUACUGUGAGCUCGAUGAGUAGGGCGGGACACGUGGUAUCCUGUCUGAAUAUGGGGGGACCAUCCUCCAAGGCUAAAUACUCCUGACUGACCGAUAGUGAACCAGUACCGUGAGGGAAAGGCGAAAAGAACCCCGGCGAGGGGAGUGAAAAAGAACCUGAAACCGUGUACGUACAAGCAGUGGGAGCACAGAGCAAUCUGUGUGACUGCGUACCUUUUGUAUAAUGGGUCAGCGACUUAUAUUCUGUAGCAAGGUUAACCGAAUAGGGGAGCCGAAGGGAAACCGAGUCUUAACUGGGCGUUAAGUUGCAGGGUAUAGACCCGAAACCCGGUGAUCUAGCCAUGGGCAGGUUGAAGGUUGGGUAACACUAACUGGAGGACCGAACCGACUAAUGUUGAAAAAUUAGCGGAUGACUUGUGGCUGGGGGUGAAAGGCCAAUCAAACCGGGAGAUAGCUGGUUCUCCCCGAAAGCUAUUUAGGUAGCGCCUCGUGAAUUCAUCUCCGGGGGUAGAGCACUGUUUCGGCAAGGGGGUCAUCCCGACUUACCAACCCGAUGCAAACUGCGAAUACCGGAGAAUGUUAUCACGGGAGACACACGGCGGGUGCUAACGUCCGUCGUGAAGAGGGAAACAACCCAGACCGCCAGCUAAGGUCCCAAAGUCAUGGUUAAGUGGGAAACGAUGUGGGAAGGCCCAGACAGCCAGGAUGUUGGCUUAGAAGCAGCCAUCAUUUAAAGAAAGCGUAAUAGCUCACUGGUCGAGUCGGCCUGCGCGGAAGAUGUAACGGGGCUAAACCAUGCACCGAAGCUGCGGCAGCGACGCUGAUGCGUUGUUGGGUAGGGGAGCGUUCUGUAAGCCUGUGAAGGUGUGCUGUGAGGCAUGCUGGAGGUAUCAGAAGUGCGAAUGCUGACAUAAGUAACGAUAAAGCGGGUGAAAAGCCCGCUCGCCGGAAGACCAAGGGUUCCUGUCCAACGUUAAUCGGGGCAGGGUGAGUCGACCCCUAAGGCGAGGCCGAAAGGCGUAGUCGAUGGGAAACAGGUUAAUAUUCCUGUACUUGGUGUUACUGCGAAGGGGGGACGGAGAAGGCUAUGUUGGCCGGGCGACGGUUGUCCCGGUUUAAGCGUGUAGGCUGGUUUUCCAGGCAAAUCCGGAAAAUCAAGGCUGAGGCGUGAUGACGAGGCACUACGGUGCUGAAGCAACAAAUGCCCUGCUUCCAGGAAAAGCCUCUAAGCAUCAGGUAACAUCAAAUCGUACCCCAAACCGACACAGGUGGUCAGGUAGAGAAUACCAAGGCGCUUGAGAGAACUCGGGUGAAGGAACUAGGCAAAAUGGUGCCGUAACUUCGGGAGAAGGCACGCUGAUAUGUAGGUGAAGUCCCUCGCGGAUGGAGCUGAAAUCAGUCGAAGAUACCAGCUGGCUGCAACUGUUUAUUAAAAACACAGCACUGUGCAAACACGAAAGUGGACGUAUACGGUGUGACGCCUGCCCGGUGCCGGAAGGUUAAUUGAUGGGGU